rnacentral:rRNA from 1 species
UACGUAGGUGGCAAGCGUUGUCCGGAUUUACUGGGCGUAAAGAGCGCGCAGGCGGUCGAUCAAGUCGAGUGUGAAAGCCCCCCGGCUCAACUGGGGAGGGUCAUUCGAUACUGAUCGACUCGAAGGCAGGAGAGGGUAGUGGAAUUCCCGGUGUAGUGGUGAAAUGCGUAGAUAUCGGGAGGAACACCAGUGGCGAAGGCGACUACCUGGCCUGUUCUUGACGCUGAGGCGCGAAAGCUAGGGGAGCAAACGGG